rnacentral:rRNA from 1 species
UACGGAGGGUGCAAACGUUGCUCGGAAUCAUUGGGCGUAAAGCGCACGUAGGCGGACCGCUAAGUCGGAUGUGAAAGCCCUCGGCUUAACCGAGGAAGUGCAUUCGAAACUGACAGUCUUGAGUAUGGAAGAGGGUCGCGGAAUUCCCGGUGUAGAGGUGAAAUUCGUAGAUAUCGGGAGGAACACCAGUGGCGAAGGCGGCGACCUGGGCCAGUACUGACGCUGAGGUGCGAAAGCGUGGGGAGCAAACAGG